GCCAGUUUCCUCUGCCAGUAUCAUCGCCAAUGAGGUUAAUCUGAGGCGUGAUUAUUGCUAGUUGAAUAAUACUUAACUAUCUCUCAGAGUUUUGUGAGAAUUAAUUAGUUUGUUAGUAUUUGUACAACACUCUGAAAAAUGUAAAGCAUUAUAGCCCAGAUCCUCAAAGUGAU
rnacentral:snRNA from 1 species